rnacentral:rRNA from 1 species
UGGGGAAUAUUGCACAAUGGGCGCAAGCCUGAUGCAGCAACGCCGCGUGAGGGACGACGGCCUUCGGGUUGUAAACCUCUUUUAGUAGGGAAGAAGCGAAAGUGACGGUACCUGCAGAAAAAGCACCGACUAACUACGUGCCAGCAGCCGCGGUAAUACGUAGGGUGCGAGCGUUGUCCGGAAUUAUUGGGCGUAAAGAGCUCGUAGGCGGUCUGUCGCGUCUGCUGUGAAAACCCGAGGCUCAACCUCGGGCCUGCAGUGGGUACGGGCAGACUAGAGUGCGGUAGGGGAGAAUGGAAUUCCUGGUGUAGCGGUGGAAUGCGCAGAUAUCAGGAGGAACACCGAUGGCGAAGGCAGUUCUCUGGGCCGUAACUGACGCUGAGGAGCGAAAGCGUGGGGAGCGAACAGGAUUAGAUACCCUGGUAGUCCACGCCGUAAACGUUGGGCGCUAGAUGUGGGGACCAUUCCACGGUUUCCGUGUCGCAGCUAACGCAUUAAGCGCCCCGCCUGGGGAGUACGGCCGCAAGGCUAAAACUCAAAUGAAUUGACGGGGUCAUAGCUGUUUCCU